UUGUUAGAGUCAUUAGGUCGUCUGAACUUGGCCCAGCAAGAAGGCGAGACGUACUUUGAGUCACACAUUUUCUUUGAUGCUGGAGUGCGCAACAACAAAAUUUCAGAGUUUCCAUUGAUUCUUGUCUCUUUGUUGGAAGAAACUUUAGGUGUAAAACCAGAACAUUGCACAAAGGUUGUCACACCUUAUGGUUUAAAGCUGAGUUGGGGGCUACCUUCCUAUAAAGACAAAGACCUCAUGAUUUUUAGCAUUCAUUUAAAGGAUAAUACUCUGGU
rnacentral:sRNA from 1 species